AUGCAUGUCUAAGUAUAAGCUAAUUAAAGGUGAANCCGCGAAUGGCUCAUUACAACAGCCGUUGUUCCCUNGAGCUAGGANUUUACNUGGAUAACUGUGGCAAUUCUAGAGCUUAUACACGCACUGAAGCCCUGACCUUGCGGGAAGGGUGCAUUUAUUAGAACAAAACCAAUCGGGGNNCAACCCGCUGUUUGGUGAAUCUGAAUAACCCAGCUGAUCGCACGGUCUUGCACCGGCGACGCAUCUUUCAAGUGUCUGCCUUAUCAACUUUCGAUGGUAGUUUAUGUGACUACCAUGGUUAUAACGGGUAACGGAGAAUCAGGGUUCGACUCCGGAGAGGGAGCCUGAGAAACGGCUACCACAUCCAAGGAAGGCAGCAGGCGCGCAAAUUACCCACUCUCAGCACGAGGAGGUAGUGACGAAAAAUAACGAGGCGGUUCUCUAUGAGGCCCGCUAUCGGAAUGAGAACAAUAUAAAUCCUUUAACGAGGAUCUAGCGGAGGGCAAGUCUGGUGCCAGCAGCCGCGGUAAUUCCAGCUCCGCCAGUGUAUAUCUAUGCUGCUGCGGUUAAAAAGCUCGUAGUUGGAUCUGCGUGCUAGGAACCGGUCCGUCCACUGGGCGUGAACUGGUCUCCGGCAUUAUAUCAGCUGGUUUUCCCUUGAUGCUCUUAACCGGGUGUCUUGGGUGGCUAGCAAGUUUACUUUGAAAAAAUUAGAGUGCUCAAAACAGGCGCAANGCCUUGAAUACUAGUGCAUGGAAUAAUAGAAUAGGACUCCGGUUCUGUUUUGUUGGUUUUCGGAACACGAAGUAAUGAUUAAGAGGAACAGACGGGGGCAUUCAUAUUGCGACGUUAGAGGUGAAAUUCUUGGAUCGUCNCAAGAUGGACAACUGCGAAAGCAUUUGCCAAGAAUGUUUUCAUUAAUCAAGAACGAAAGUUAGA
rnacentral:rRNA from 1 species